GCAUAUCAAUAAGCGGAGGAAAAGAAACCAACAGGGAUUGCCUCAGUAACGGCGAGUGAAGCGGCAACAGCUCAAAUUUGAAAUCUGACUUCGGUCCGAGUUGUAAUUUGCAGAGGGUAUUUGGAAAUUGAUACGGGCUUAAGUCCCUUGGAACAGGGCGUCAUAGAGGGUGAGAAUCCCGUAUGUGGCCAUAUGUCAAUUUCAUGUCAGAUCCCUUCGACGAGUCGAGUUGUUUGGGAAUGCAGCUCAAAAUGGGUGGUAAAUUUCAUCUAAAGCUAAAUACCGGCCAGAGACCGAUAGCGCACAAGUAGAGUGAUCGAAAGAUGAAAAGCACUUUGGAAAGAGAGUGAAACAGUACGUGAAAUUGUUGAAAGGGAAGCGCUUGCCAUUAGACCGAUCUUUAGGCUGCAGUUCAGAGUCAACUCUGGACGUAAAGCACCUGAUUUUCGGCCAGCAUCGGUUUAGGUGGUUUGAUAAAGACUGUAAGAACGUAGCUCUUCGGAGUGUUAUAGCUUAUAGUGUAAUGAAAUCUACCUGGACCGAGGACCGCGCUUCGGCUAGGAUGCUGGCGUAAUGAUGGCAAGCGACCCGUCUUGAAACACGGACCAAGGAGUGGUAUGCAUAUGCAAGUGUUUGGGUGUUAAACCCAUACGCGGAAUGAAAGUGAACGAAGAUGAGAACCUUAGGGUGCAUCAUCGCCUGAACCCAAUGUUUUCGGAGGGUCUUAAGGAGGAGCAUAUUUGUACCGACCCGAAAGAUGGUGAACUAUGCGCGAAUAGAGUGAAGCCAGAGGAAACUCUGGUGGAGGCUCGCAGCGGUUCUGACGUGCAAAUCGAUCGUCAAAUUUACGCAUAGGGGCGAAAGACCAAUCGAACUAUCUAGUAGCUGGUUCCUGC
rnacentral:rRNA from 1 species